UACGGAGGGUGCAAGCGUUAUCCGGAUUCACUGGGCUUAAAGGGUGCGUAGGCGGGCAGGUAAGUCAGUGGUGAAAUCCCCGAGCUUAACUUGGGAACUGCCGUUGAUACUAUCUGUCUUGAAUGCUGUGGAGGUGAGCGGAAUAUGUCAUGUAGCGGUGAAAUGCUUAGAUAUGACAUAGAACACCAAUUGCGAAGGCAGCUCGCUACGCAGUUAUUGACUCUGAGGCACGAAAGCGUGGGGAGCAAACAGG
rnacentral:rRNA from 1 species